rnacentral:rRNA from 18 species
ACGGAGAGUUUGAUCCUGGCUCAGGACGAACGCUGGCGGCGUGCUUAACACAUGCAAGUCGAACGACAAAGUACCUUCGGGUGCGAGUAGAGUGGCGCACGGGUGAGUAACACGUAGGUGACCUACCAUACAGUGGGGGAUAACCAGAAGAAAUUCUGGCUAAUACCGCAUACGAAGCACAAAUUUGAAAGUAGUGCUUGAAAGGAUGCUUCGGCAUUCGCUGAAUGAUGGGCCUGCGUAGCAUUAGUUUGAUGGUGGGGUAACGGCCUACCAUGACUACGAUGCUUAGCUGGUCUGAGAGGAUGAUCAGCCACACUGGAACUGAGACACGGUCC